UACUUCCGUCAACGCUCUGCUCACGUUUCUGGACUGUGGCGUCGAAUUUCAGUGUUUCUUCGAAGGCAAAAUAGUUUUUGCUGUUAAUAACCUCAAAUGGACCGGACUGGUCUGAAGGAAUGCAACGUGAGAAUACAGCCGAAAGUUGAAGAGGGCAAGUGUUAGUAGUGAGUGGCAGGCUGCACUGCUGCAGAGGUCCACAGAGUUCAAGGAAGAACCAGUUUUUUGGUCGUUGACAGGCUGUUAUUCCUUGGAUUUUGCAACAAAAAAAAGAUGCACAGCUGCUCCAGCCAGGCGGCAUGCUGUGCACUACCCCUGCCACACAGUGAGCUGGCUCUGCAGAGGACAGAAAAUCUAUCGCGUGACUACUGCGGCUAAUCAGAAAUUACUGGAUGCCUUUCUCUUGUUAAUAGUUUGAAGCCAACUCUUUUUGUACUGUUGAGCCAUCUUAAGCGACAGCAGUGUACAUCUGCGAGAUCUACAAUCCUCUUCUCACUUUUUCUUUAAAAGAUGUCAAAUAAAGCAUGUGUGACCAC